GACGAACGCUGGCGGCGUGCUUAACACAUGCAAGUCGAGCGGAAAGGCCUCUUCGGGGGUACUCGAGCGGCGAACGGGUGAGUAACACGUGAGUAAUCUGCCCUUCACUCUGGGAUAGCCACCGGAAACGGUGAUUAAUACCGGAUACGACACGUCCAGGCAUCUGGUGCGUGUGGAAACUUUUUGGGUGGGGGAUGUGCUCGCGGCCUAUCAGCUUGUUGGGGGGGUAAUGGCCUACCAAGGCUUCGACGGGUAGCCGGCCUGAGAGGGUGACCGGCCACACUGGGACUGAGACACGGGCCAGACUCCUACGGGAGGCAGCAGUGGGGAAUAUUGGACAAUGGGCGGAAGCCUGAUCCAGCAACGCCGCGUGAGGGAUGACGGCCUUCGGGUUGUAAACCUCUUUCAGCACCGACGAAGCGAUCCUUUGGGGGAGUGACGGUAGGUGCAGAAGAAGGACCGGCCAACUACGUGCCAGCCGCCGCAGUAACAC
rnacentral:rRNA from 1 species